rnacentral:rRNA from 1 species
AGGGAAUCUUCCGCAAUGGACGAAAGUCUGACGGAGCAACGCCGCGUGAGUGAUGAAGGUCUUCGGAUCGUAAAACUCUGUUGUCAGGGAAGAACAAGUGCCGUUUGAAUAAGGCGGCACCUUGACGGUACCUGACCAGAAAGCCACGGCUAACUACGUGCCAGCAGCCGCGGUAAUACGUAGGUGGCAAGCGUUGUCCGGAAUUAUUGGGCGUAAAGCGCUCGCAGGCGGUUCCUUAAGUCUGAUGUGAAAUCUUGCAGCUUAACUGCAAACGGUCAUUGGAAACUGGGGGACUUGAGUACAGAAGAGGAGAGCGGAAUUCCACGUGUAGCGGUGAAAUGCGUAGAGAUGUGGAGGAACACCAGUGGCGAAGGCGGCUCUCUGGUCUGUAACUGACGCUCAGGAGCGAAAGCGUGGGUAGCGAAC